AUUGAACGCUGGCGGCAUGCCUUACACAUGCAAGUCGAACGGCAGCACGGGUGCUUGCACCUGGUGGCGAGUGGCGAACGGGUGAGUAAUGCAUCGGAACGUACCCUGGAGUGGGGGAUAACUAUCCGAAAGGAUAGCUAAUACCGCAUAUUCUAUGAGUAGGAAAGCGGGGGAUCUUCGGACCUCGCGCUCUGGGAGCGGCCGAUGUCAGAUUAGCUAGUUGGUGGGGUAAAGGCCUACCAAGGCUACGAUCUGUAGCGGGUCUGAGAGGAUGAUCCGCCACACUGGGACUGAGACACGGCCCAGACUCCUACGGGAGGCAGCAGUGGGGAAUUUUGGACAAUGGGGGCAACCCUGAUCCAGCCAUGCCGCGUGAGUGAAGAAGGCCUUCGGGUUGUAAAGCUCUUUCGGCCGGGAAGAAAUCGCCAUCUCUAAUAUAGGUGGUGGAUGACGGUACCGGAAUAAGAAGCACCGGCUAACUACGUG
rnacentral:rRNA from 1 species